rnacentral:lncRNA from 1 species
GGGGGUACCGGUACAGAGUCAAUGUGGAGGCUAUAUACAGGGUAUUACGGUACUGAGUCAAUGUGGAGGCUAUAUACAGGGGGUACCGGUACAGAGUCAAUGUGGAGGCUAUAUACAGGGGGUACCAGUACAGAGUCAAUGUGGAGGCUAUAUACAGGGGGUACCAGUACAGAGUCAAUGUGGAGGCUAUAUACAGGGGUACCGGUACAGAGUCAAUGUGGAGGCUAUAUACAGGGGUACCGGUACAGAGUCAAUGUGGAGGCUAUAUACAGGGGGUACUGUACAGAGUCAAUGUGGAGGCUAUAUACAGGGGGGACCGGUACAGAGUCAAUGUGGAGGCUAUAUACAGGGGGUACCGGU